GAGAGAGACAUGCGCGCAUAUCAAUAAGCGGAGGAAAAGAAACUAACAAGGAUUCCCUUAGUAACGGCGAGUGAAGCGGGAAGAUGCUCAAAUUUGAAAUCUUCAAGGUUUUACCUUGAUGAAUUGUAGUUUAAAGAAGUGUUUUCUGCUGAAGUUUUGGUAAAAGUUCUUUGGAAUAGGACAUCAUAGAGGGUGAGAAUCCCGUAUUUGACCAUUAUUUUCAGCUUUGUGAUACACUUUCAAAGAGUCGGAUUGUUUGGGAAUGCAGUCCAAAAUGGGUGGUAAAUUUCAUCUAAAGCUAAAUAUUGGCGAGAGACCGAUAGCGAACAAGUACCGUGAGGGAAAGAUGAAAAGAACUUUGAAAGAGAGAGUUAAACAGUACGUGAAAUUGUCAAAAGGGAAGCGUUUGACACCAGUGUUGUUUUCUCGAAAAUCAAUUAAAAAUGGCUCGAUUUUGUAUUGUUGAGACCUUAAAAGCUCACUGUACAUUUUUCGUGUCUUUUUUAAUGCACUUUUCGUUUAACAAGUCAACAUCAGUUUCUUUUGUUGUAAAAGGGUCAUUGGAAGGUGGCUUUCUUUUCAGGAGAAAGUGUUUAUAGCCUUUGGCCUCUGCAAUCGGAGAGACUGAGGUCUGCAGCGUAGACUCUUCGGGGUUAGAUACAUUUGUGCUAAGUUAUAGCUUUUUAUAGACAACUUGUUGACUAUAAUUAGUCUUGUAGCUUACUCGCUUAUGCUAUUUUACCUACGCUUAGGAUGUUGAGUCGUAGAGCACGCAG
rnacentral:rRNA from 1 species